rnacentral:tRNA from 1 species
UGGCUCAGAGGUUAAAGCGUCUGCCUGCAAUGUGGAAGACCCGGGUUCAAUCCCUGG